rnacentral:rRNA from 1 species
GUUGUAAGGUUAAGAAAUUAAGCGUACACGGUGGAUGCCUAGGCAAUCAGAGGCGAAGAAGGACGUGUUAAUCUGCGAAAAGCGACGGUAAGCCGAUAAAAGGCGCUAUAGCCGUUGAUGUCCGAAUGGGGAAACCCAGUGUAGGUGGCUACACUAUCAUAUAAUGAAUUCAUAGUUAUAUGAGGCGAACCGGGAGAACUGAAACAUCUAAGUACCCCGAGGAAAAGAAAUCAACCGAGAUUCCCUAAGUAGCGGCGAGCGAAAGGGGAGGAGCCCAAGCGGGUAGCAUGAUGUAUUAGUGGAAGCGUCUGGAAAGUCGCACGAUAGAGGGUGAAAGUCCCGUACAUGAAAAUGCAUGAUGUGGAAGCUUAUAGAGUAGGGCGGGACACGUGAUAUCCUGUCUGAAGAAGGGGGGACCAUCCUCCAAGGCUAAAUACUCCUGAUUGACCGAUAGUGAACCAGUACCGUGAGGGAAAGGCGAAAAGAACCCCGGGAGGGGAGUGAAAUAGACCCUGAAACCGUGUACGUACAAUCAGUGGGAGCUGUUACCGUUGGGUAAUAGUGACUGCGUACCUUUUGUAUAAUGGGUCAGCGACUUAUAUUCUGUAGCGAGGUUAACCGAAUAGGGGAGCCGAAGGGAAACCGAGUAUUAACUGUGCGUUAAGUUGCAGGGUAUAGACCCGAAACCCGGUGAUCUAGCCAUGGGCAGGUUGAAGGUUGGUUAACACUAACUGGAGGACCGAACCGACUAAUGUUGAAAAAUUAGCGGAUGACCUGUGGCUGGGGGUGAAAGGCCAAUCAAACCGGGAGAUAGCUGGUUCUCCCCGAAAGCUAUUUAGGUAGCGCCUCAUGAGUAACUGUUGGGGGUAGAGCACUGUUUCGGCUAGGGGGCCAUCCCGGCUUACCAACCCGAUGCAAACUCCGAAUACUGACAAGUUUAAUCAUGGGAGACACACGGCGGG